AUUUGUUGUAACCUCCGCCAGAGAUGCCCAUUAACACCACUAAGUACCCCAUUUCCUGGAAGGCAUGUGGUUCCCCAUCAGAUAAGAAGAAAUGGCUGCAGGGAAGAUAAGGCAGCUGUACCAACAUGUGCUGGACUUGGAACUCAGCUAGCCACAGGACAGCAGGAGCACAGGGGAGGGGUCGGCAACAGUGAGAUGUGUGCUGGUGGCGCAGGAGUCAGCACCAGGGACUGGACCUGUGUUUUGAGAGAGGGAGGCCGCAGGUCAUCAGCAAAGGGAAGAUUCCAAAGGCUGUUGUGUGCUGCUUUGGCUUGGAUCUUUGAAGAGGUUCCCAUCUUCUGGUCUGCAAACCCUCCUCAGGUAUUCCCACAAUCCCUGUGGCAUUGAUGGACAGCUUCCUUCAUCCUGAAUGACACUUGUGGACCCAACAGUGUGUGUGAGGGGUUUUGAGGACAGCUGACCCGGUCUCCACCAUGCAAUUGCAACAAGAAUGGGCCCUUACCCCCUCCUUAAUCCACCCUAGCUUCAUAACUAAGAGGAGUCAGUGAACCUUGUCCCUCUGACCCAAAGAAAGCUAAAAAAACAAGGCAGUGUGGGGGAAGAAAGUCAGGACCCUUGAAGGUUGGUCAGUAUUUGGAUUCUUCCUGCUAUGCUGGGCCACCCCCAGCACUCUCUCUCCUCACAUUGUGUCCUCUGAGAGAGGGGGAAGGGGAUUGGGGACGAUUCAAUCCAAUUGGUACCAUGAAAGAAGCCUUUGUUCCAGCACUGUCACUCUGGCCAAGGUGUCAUGGCCUCAGUUUCCAGGACAACGGGCGCAGGGUGGGUAGAUGGGGAGGAAGGUGUAAAAUGAAGUGAAAGUUUUGACAGCAUGGAAAUUACCAGUUAAUAAGAACAAUUCAUUA
rnacentral:lncRNA from 1 species